GACGAACGCUGGCGGCGUGCUUAACACAUGCAAGUCGAACGAUGAAGCCUUCGGGUGGAUUAGCGGCGAACGGGUGAGUAACACGUGGGCAAUCUGCCCUGUACUUUGGGAUAAGCCUUGGAAACGGGGUCUAAUACCGGAUAUCACUUCUGACCGCAUGGUUGGUUGUUGAAAGUUCUGGCGGUACAGGAUGAGCCCGCGGCCUAUCAGCUUGUUGGUGGGGUAAUGGCCUACCAAGGCGACGACGGGUAGCCGGCCUGAGAGGAUGACCGGCCACACUGGGACUGAGACACGGCCCAGACUCCUACGGGAGGCAGCAGUGGGGAAUAUUGCACAAUGGGCGAAAGCCUGAUGCAGCGACGCCGCGUGGGGAUGACGGCCUCGGUU
rnacentral:rRNA from 1 species